GACUCCCCACAGGGUCUUCCCCGCGCGUGCGUGGCGGUCGAGGGGAGGGUAGUGGUGUGGUGUCGUUGGUGGGGGUCGGGCCCUUUUGGGCAGCUCUUUCGGGUGGUGGUGGUACGAACAGCGCUCAGUACCGCAGGGCUGCCCGCGGGGCCGGAGCCGAGAGGUGCGGGUGGGCAGCGCGUGGUUGCGUGGUGCGGCCGUACGUGGAGGGCGCCGUGCCGGGACGAGGAGCUGCCCGCGGUGGGGUCCUGCACAGCCCGAGCGUGUUUAAAAACAAAACAAUGAGGUUUUCAGCAGCCCGACUUGAUAACCCGCAUUCCUGAGAUGCUAGGCGUUUAUGCAUCUUCAUUAGCAUGACACGAGCGUGAGUCUGCAGCCAGAAAGCGGCUUCUCCGUUCGUUUAUCUGAUCAGUGCGCUUCAGGAAUUGCUGCUGACAGCUCAAUAGGGCCUCUCUGCAGCCACAGCUCCGUCUGUGCCCGAUGCUCAGCACAGCUCCGCUCUCCGGAGCUGCUCGCACAGCUCCCCACCCACCCCAGCCAUGAAGCAGGAAGCAACGAGUUGGAAUCGAUAGCUGGCAUUGCUUGUGGAGUAACCUCAGGCACUGACAUGUGAAAUGUGCUCUUCCCAUUGCUGGCCUAGAAAAUACACACAGCUUAAAUUAUGGACGUUGUAACUUCGCAGAGGCUGAUCUGUGCUGGAGGGUCGGGGGUGCGUCCAGGUGCAGCAGAUGGGACUGUUGCCAAAGUGUGUCAGAUAAGCUCUGCGUGGUGCUGUUAAAGGCAUGGCUUGCACAGGAAACGGCCUGUUUGCUUUGGUGAUGCCAGCAGGGCAUUGCAGGCACAGCUCAACUGCUUCUCAGAGCUGCUGCUGCCAUUCCAGACACUGCGACGUCCAUGCAGACGUGGGACUGCCAUAGGAUUGAGCCCCUCUGGCCUUGCCUCCCUUUGUCUGGUGCCAGGAAUGCUGCAGGACACCAGUGACAAAUAACACAGCAAAACAGACUGCACAUCUGAGGCAGCUUUGAGCCCAUGCCAUGCAUGCAGCUUUCCUCUGUGCAGCACUUCCUGGAGCUCAGCUCAGCAGAGCUUCUGCAGGAUUGGAGUCUAAAUGAGGCCAUGCUGUAAAGUGAGGCACAGCAGCAAGGAGGAGCUGAGAGGGAGAUGAGUGCAGCAGUUAGAAGACACCACGUGGACUUAGCGAUUUGCAAGCACUCUCUGCCUGGUACCCCAGCUGAGGGUUUCUCUCUCACUGCAGCAGCACUUCCUGAGGGAAUCUGCUUCCUCUACCUGAUUUCUCUGGUUGUUGGAGCUGCUGAACUUCCUCCAGAAGAGGCCCAGCAGCAGCAGGUAGGGUGAGGUAGCUGCUGAAGAAACACUCAAAGGUAUGGACGGUGCUUGAACACCCACAUGGCUUUUUCUUUCCCUCCACCCAGCCAAUGAACUUCAUGUGACCCCCUCCCAGCAGCACCACUCAUUUGUUUAAUCAGCGAUUAAACUGGAAUUUUACUUCACUUCCAAACACGCUCUAUCAGUCCUUACAUUCCCUUCUAUUUAUUUAUUUUUUUUAAAUAAAGGGAAAGCAGUAGAAAAAUACAUCAUUAAUGUAGCAUAGCAUAACUUAAAGGAGAUACCAUCACAGAUGUGGUGACUGCGGGACUGAGGAGGAGAGGCUUUAAGCCCUCCAGGAAACAGCUGUUCCAGAAAGACAGAGUUACAGCAUAGACAUGAGUUACAGCACAAGUGCCCUUGUUGGCUCCUGCAGCCCUUUCCAAGCUCUCCUUUAGGCACAGUUUAAGACUCCAGGAUUGCUUCUUUCACACAGCACGUGUCAGUACCACAACAAAGAGAACCAACCAAACCACACCCAAGUGUUAACCUUGCAGGUAAAGUGCAAUAAAAAAUGAGUGCUGGCAUCCUAUGGGAUCAGUGCAGAUUUCUUUUCUUCCUUGUUGUGUCUCUUUUUAAAAAUACUGCUUGUUUUCACCAGUGAAUGCAGAGCUCACUACCCCAUGAUUCCAUGAGCUCCUUUCUAAGUAGAAAUAGCAAACUUAGACCUCAUCACUGUGUAAUUACAGUCAAGCUAGCUUUGCCCCUUCAUAUUUGCAUUCGUUGUUGGAUUGCCCAGUGAUGUGGGAUUCCUUCCUGACUCUUUCCAGUCAGUUUGGAUGUCCUGAGUAGUUCCGUAUCAGUAGAUUUGUCACUUCACUGUUUACUUAUUUUCCAGCUCAUUGGUGACUGUUGUACAAUUCGGGCCUCUGCACAGAUGCAUGCUUUGUUAUUGCUCUACACAUUGGAGGUCUAUAAAGCAGAUCUGUAGUUAUGGUGUGACUUGACAUGCCCAGCAUAGUGCAGGCCUGCAGAGAUUAACUGAUUUUAUCCAUCUCCUUCCUGGAGCUUCUCUGUUGUGAGGCCCUUUGGAUUUCAUUUGCCUGCUAAAAGGUGCAAUUGCUGAUCUGGCCACUGAGGAAUCAUCAUCAGCGCAUCUCCUGGCAAAGCAAAGCACCUCCUUCCAGAAAAGCUGGUCCAAGAGAGAAGCCGUGUGCUGAGUCAGCCUGGCAGCUGUAUUUCCUGCUCCAGUUCUCUCCUUCUGCAUGAUUCACUCCAGUUCCCUGCCAGGAAGCCUUGGUCCUGGGUGAGACAGUGAGAGGCAGAGGGAUGCUCCUGCUGUCCUGCACCAGGAUAUUGGAGACCAGCUCCUGUGUGUCCUGGCUGCCCCGCAAGUAAUGUUGGUGCUGCAAGGAAAGGUGGGAAACUCAGAGUCACCAAAAGACUUGCUUGAGUUUCUUUGUCUGUUAGCAGUCCUGUGCUCUUGCCACAUGGCACUUUUCCUUCCAGACAGCUCUGGACAAUGGCUGUGAAUGCACGGGACAGCAUAUUGUCUGGCUGUGUGUAUUGCUUUUAUAUGGGCACUUGAACUAAAAGGGUAAAUCCUUUUAACUGUGGUGUUUUGAAGAGAGCAGCACAUUAGCCGGGAAGGAGGGUGGGCAGAUGAGAAGAGCUGUUUUAUUCAAUAUUGCUGCCACAGUUCAUACAGUCAGCACUGCCAAGACUUUGGGCGUAGCCAGUCUGACAUGGGAAACUGAUUGUUCAGUGCUGUUGCCUGGCUGCUGCUUGGAGCUGCAGCUCUGUGCUGUCUGCCUGGUGCUGAAGGCUUGGGGUCAGACCCAGCAAUUGCUGCUCAUCCCCUCGGAGAGGCACCGAUCCCACGCUGGUGGGUUUGGUUCUGUCUGGACUGUGCUCAGUUUGCUUCAGCACCAGUUUGUGAAAAUGCAACUGCAUGAUCUGCUGAGCUCAGACCUGCAAACAGAGCCAAGAGCCUCUCUGGCUUUGGAUCAAACUUUGCUGUGGUUACAUGGAUCGUGUGAUGGCGCAGCUGAUCCUUCCAGCAUUGUGUUCUUGCUUUUGGCCUCUUCGGUUGCACAAAGAGCUCAAAACAUUGUCCCCCUGAUCUGUUACUUAGUGAUACUAGGAUUGUCCUCCAGGAGUUGUUGAGGAAACUCCUCUGCCUGCAUUCCUGUUUAUCAGAGACUCCUUCCCAGCGUGCCAGCCCAUGCACAAAGCCUUCAGCAUCCUCAGCUGUGGGACAUGUGAACAGACACAGCUCCUCCCUCCGGCACAAUGGCACUCUCUUCCCUGCUCAGGACAGCGUGCCACGUCGGUCAGUUCCUCAAGAGCUUUGGUUCUCAGAAUUGAGUUAAAUCAGGCCUAAGCUGGACUCUGAGCCCUCCUUGAGAUAUUUUGACAGAGAAAUGUAUGCCUUGAAACGACUUGAAAAGAACUGUAGGGAGGGAGGAGAGCAGGAAAAAGCAUCGGCUGUGAGCGGCUGCCCUCUCCCGAGAUCUCUCCCCCUGCAAAGAGUGCAGCCUUGGCUCCUCUGUGACCUCUUUCUUCCUGCAGGGUAAUGAAAGUCAGCUCACUGUAAUGGCAGGCUGAAAGUCAGCUGCUCUGCCACAGGGUUAGUCCUCCGGAUAGAUGAAAGGAAAGUGGUUUGAUGUCCAAACGACUGUCACAGCUUUAAAGAAGAAUUAAAGCCAGAUGUUUCCAACCAGCCUGCUGAGAACAGCCUUUUCUGACAUAUUUGCCAAACCACCAAGGAGACCCAGCCAGUGCCUGCAGCGCUGCAUGUUGGGAAAGCACUGAUCCCAAAGGCUGUGCUGCAGUUGCUGGAGCACCCUGGCUGUCCGGAAUGAGCGCACCCGCAGGGCUGGGGCAGACAGUGCUGCCAGCUCAGUGUUUGUGCACCAUUGCUCAGUGUUUACUCCUCACUGAUCGUGGUGAUGACAGCAAGAUUGUGAUUGUAAACACAUCAAAUUCAACACCUUUUGCCUUGGGACAAAGUAUUGUAGGUAUUGAAGGUAUUGUAGGUGUUAAAGGUAUCGUAACUGGGCUGGCAUCAGCUCUCAGGUUGGUGGCUUGUAAUGGUUAAUGGAGUCCAGAAUGUCAUCCCUGUCCCUGGCUGCACUCGGGCUGAUGUUCAGUCUAACAGGCAGAGCUUUUCCUGCACUGGGAUCCCAUCAGAACAAGGAAGAAUGCAUUUUAGUCUCGCCUCACACACACAGUGUUUGUAUUCAGCUGUGACUGAGGCCAAUGACUGUUCCUGUGUGGGUAGAACUGAGGUGAAAGCCGAGGAACAGGAAAAUGGAAUCCUUGCCUCGGUGUAAUCAGGGACAGAUCUGCACUUCCCGCUUUGCUGGGAGUAACGCAGACCUCAGGACUGCUGGCUGUGUGGUUCCAGCUCACACCCAAAGCUAAUUAAUCUUUCUGCCAGCAUAGCUGCUCCAGGCUUCUGCCUACAAUAGGUAUUGCUCUUUUACCUUUGUCAGCCUGCCUGGUGGUUACAACGUUCACCUUCUGGGCUCUUCAGGACAAAUUCCCGAUGCUGUGCCCUCAGCGCUGCUUUGAGGUGGAGUUUCCCCUCGCGAAAUCAGGGGGCGCUGGAAAUGUCCUCUCGGCUCCGAUGCCUGGGAAAGGUUUUGCUCGCUGUUCUAUGGGGAUGUGUCACAGCCCUCCUCCUCCUCUUGCCGGCGUGCUUCGUCCUCUGGGGCAGCAGGUGAGGUGCUGCUGAGAUGCCACGUGCUCAGAAGGUGCAAAAAUAAAUAGAGCAGAGGGAAGGUAGGAUGUGGGGAGUCCCAGUUUUUACUGGCAUCCACUCACAAUCAGAUGAUUGGACCAGUAACAAAAAAUAAAUCCCUCUCUCGUCUGACUCUACAAACUGAGCCAUAGAAAGGAGCUUUCUUCCAUGCCCUUCGUCUGUUCUCACAAUACAACAUCUCAUUUCAGCAUCCAUUCAUUCUGCUCUGCCGCAUCACAGACAGAGGCACGAUUGUUUCUGCUGCGAUCCCAAAACCAACUGUGCAGGGAGGGCCGUUGGGAGCUGCUCAGUGGGGCAGAGCAGUCCUGGUGGAGCUCAGGGAAGGCUGUUGGCCUCACCGCCCUCCUGGAGGUUAACAGAAGACCAACAGGAAGGAAUCCGGACUGUGAUGUAAACACAGAGUUGUUUCUCUUUGCCUCUCAGAUGGGUAUUAAAUGUGAUCUGAUUAUGGCUUGUUCUGUUUCUUGAAUUGUCCCAUCCGAAUUGCUCCCUUGGAAGACAAACAAUUAUUGUUAAAUGAAUUAUUCAGUAGCUCUAUAGACUGGGUCUGUUUUUCUGCCCCAUUGCACGUGAAGCCCGCUGAGGCUGUAAGUGAGUAAAUGCUCUGUCAGUAGUGGAAGUGUUUUGGCCAACAGCUGACCAACAACUUUACCAGGGCGAUUAAAUGGGGACGCCCUGCAGGAGCAAAGCAGAACCGCGGCCUCCCUGAAGUCCUGGAGCUCCUGUGGGAUUUCCAGAGCUCAGCAGGCCUGAAAUGGGGCUCCGCACAACUCUGUGCUAUGAUUUCUCUAUUGCUGUGAUAUUGCGAUGGGUGCACUAAAAAUGAAUGAGCAGAUUCUGAAGAUAAAGAGGUCUGUAAAACAGGGAUAAGGCUUAAUUACUUCACAGGAGGGUUAAAGGAUUAAUGAAUUAAUGUUUGCAAAGUGCUUUGAA